rnacentral:rRNA from 1 species
CCUACGGGAGGCAGCAGUGAGGAAUAUUGGUCAAUGGGCGUAAGCCUGAACCAGCCAAGUCGCGUGAGGGAUGAAGGUUCUAUGGAUCGUAAACCUCUUUUAUAAGGGAAUAAAGUGUGGGACGUGUCCUGUUUUGUAUGUACCUUAUGAAUAAGGCUCGGCUAACUCCGUGCCAGCAGCCGCGGUAAUACGGAGGAUCCGAGCGUUAUCCGGAUUUAUUGGGUUUAAAGGGUGCGUCGGCGGCCUUUUAAGUCAGCGGUGAAAGUCUGUGGCUCAACCAUAGAAUUGCCGUUGAAACUGGGAGGCUUGAGUAUGUUUGAGGCAGGCGGAAUGCGUGGUGUAGCGGUGAAAUGCUUAGAUAGCACGCAGAACCCCGAUUGCGAAGGCAGCCUGCCAAGCCAUGACUGACGCUGAUGCACGAAAGCGUGGGGAUCAAACAGGAGUAGAGACCCGUGUAGUC